ensembl:lncRNA
AGACGAUGCAUCUCGUACUGCACGCUGGUUUUUAAAUCUUACAGAGGACAAACUCUGCAGGCCGCGGCACGCCUCACAUUUACACAAGCCCACCAACGAGCCGGAGACAAUGAUUAGUUGCUCUCACAGUUUGACGUUUCCCAGAUCGUUCCUUUCGGCGGACCUGUCAGGACACAGUGCCGCGCCGCGGGGCGUAUCCCGCUGAGUGUCGUCAUGGAUCCCGGUGGUUUGGACGCCAUGUUGGGAUGCAAACAUGUUUAGAUCCGCCAACAGCGAUGGGGAAUUUGAGCACAGCGGGAGCUACACAUUCUUUACACCGUGGAGUUCUAAUGUGAUCUACCUAAUGCAAGCUACUGCGAUGCAUGAUGGAGGCAGCCAGCCCUCGCUGAUGAGGAACCCAAUUGAUGAAUCAAUCAAUCACGUUCAACAAAGAUCUAUAAUUACGAGACAAAAAUAUGACACACAAACGCAAAAGCGGCGGUUCGCUGACAGCUCGCGUUUCCUGGGCCCUUCCUUGGAGGCGACAACUCCUCGCCGUGUGCUGGUCGGACAGCGAUCAUGGGAGCCGGCGCCCUGCAGCCCGCCAUUACAGCGGUCCCUUCGGCUGGGUCCAGCUUGGAACCACACUCCCAGGGGCUCAACCCCCAAGCCCCCAACCCCCCCCCUGUCCCUGAGCAGCAGGACACAAUGAUCCGGGUCUCCUCCCCCCUCGCCAAACAAAAUGUACAGUAGUCUCAUGGUCUUCUUUUUGCAGACGAGGACGUUUUUGCAGAGGGGCUCCAGUCAUAUAUAUUUCAAUAGCAAUGCCACAAAAGGGGGGGCGAGAAUGUGUUUGCUUUUGUGUGUGAAGGGAACAUGACAUUUUGUGGUGGAUGGAAAAGGGGGAAUGGUGUGAAAUAUUAAUACGUCAUCUCUGACUGAGGCUGCAUCACAUGAUAUUUGGGUAUUUCCAAGGAUGGUUUUACAACCCGUUGGUCUUAGGAAACACUGAUUCCCUGUACUUAUGACAUAAAUGUGUCAGUCAGGCAUCGUGUUACAUUUGAUGUACGUUAUUAAAAAGAUUUAUUGGAUUGAAGAUACUAUCUCGACUACCUGAAGAUAUCUGCUUACAAGUGAG